rnacentral:rRNA from 1 species
GACGUAGGGGGCCAGCGUUGCUCGGAAUUACUGGGCGUAAAGGGUUCGUAGGCGGUGUGGCAAGUCGGGAGUGAAAUCUCUGGGCUUAACUCAGAGGCUGCUUCCGAAACUGCCGUGCUAGAGUGCGGGAGAGGCGAGUGGAAUUGCAGGUGUAGCGGUGAAAUGCGUAGAUAUCAGGAGGAACACCGGUGGCGAAGGCGGGUCUCUGGGCCGUAACUGACGCUGAGGAGCGAAAGCCAGGGGAGCGAACGGG